AGGGACAGAGCUCAGGAGUAGAGCACUUGCCUUCAGUGCAUGAAGUCUGGGUCCAAUACCCAGUGAUGCCC
rnacentral:tRNA from 1 species